rnacentral:rRNA from 1 species
GGUGAACGCUGGCGGCGUGCUUAAGACAUGCAAGUCGAACGGGCUCUUCGGAGCCAGUGGCGCACGGGUGAGUAACGCGUAACUUACCUACCCCAAAGUCGCGGAUAACGAUUCGAAAGAAUCGCUAAUACGUGAUGUGCUGUCAGAUCCUGUUCUGCCAGUAAAGAUUUAUUGCUUUGGGAUGGGGUUGCGUUCCAUCAGCUAGUUGGUGGGGUAAAGGCCCACUAAGGCGACGACGGAUCGCCGGCCUGAGAGGGUGGCCGGCCACAGGGGCACUGAGACACGGGUCCCACUCAUACGGGAGGCAGCAGUUAGGAAUCGUCCACAAUGGGCGAAAGCCUGAUGGAGCGACGCCGCGUGAGGGAUGAAGGGCUUCGGAUCGUAAACCUCUGAAUCAGGGACGAAAGACGCGAAAGCGGGAUGACGGUACCUGAGUAAUAGCACCGGCUAACUCCGUG